AAGGGACCAUUUUGUUUGUGAGUCUUGACUGAAUUUAGUACCAAAACUCAAGAAAUAAUCAAGAACAGUACAAUAAUUUCCUCACAGUACCUCAGCCAGGGAGGUAUGAUGUGAGGUUACACAAAUAAAAAAUCAAAUCCUACUUUAAAAAAAAAACACAUAUAACAUUGUGUUCCUUUCCAUAUCAGACUCAUAGCAAACAAGCUUCAUGAACGAAGGGGUUUACUGAACAGUUACUGAACUCCCUGCAGGCCGGUGACAGUGUAACUAUACCUUCUAGUUUCUUUGAUCUAAAUCUGACCAAUCUUAUGUUUCGGCUUUCAGAUCAAGAGACUGUAGUAGCAUUCUGAUGUUAAGGAUUUUGAAAGGAGCACAACAAUGCAUUGGGUGAACCCAGCUGCGUUUCACUGAAGUACCUGGGUUUGGUGACUUGGGAUAGCUGGGUCUUUGCUGAAGUGGAAUUCAGAGUUGUAAGGAGGAGAGAGAGAGCUAACCGAGCUCUCUGAAGUGUUAAUAAGAACCUCAGACAGAGGACAUGCAAGGAUGUUGGAACCAGAUUGAGAAGGAUCGAAGGAGAGACUGACAAACCGGAGGAUUUUGAAGUGUGAGUUGUCGAUUGAGA